CAGGUAAAAAUCGCUGAGUUUGUUAAGCAACAGGUUAAUUCACGCUUGGUAUUGCCGCGUGGAAAUAAAACUCGUUUUUGAUAAGAAACACCUGAACGUCAUAACGUAAUCACUCAAAAAGAGAACUUUGAGAGAAAUGAAAUUGUUUGUAAGUGUUCUUCUUGUCGCCGUUUUGAUUUUGUCAGUAUCAACCAUUGAUAUGGUACCAAGCGAAAUCAAAUGCAGAAACAUCUCGAAAGAUUGUAAAAGAAAAGCAAGACAAGGAUGGUGUAGCAAGGAUCAAUCUUAUGUAGCCAUGGGGAGAAAAUGUCGUUUGUCUUGCCAAAUGUGCGACAAAAAGAGCAAAGUUUUUGACCAUGACGCUCGAUGCAAAAGGUGGAAAGAUCUUGGGUUCUGUGAAAUAGAUUUCCACUCUAUUUACAUGUACCGAAGCUGUAAAUACAGUUGUCCGAAACUCGUUAAGGCAUUCACUAUGGGCAGAGAGGAAAAGAGGGAAUGAUUUACGAUUUUCUUCAAGAAACCAAACUGAUCUUUGGCAUAGGAACAAUAAUAUUCUUGUGCUAAGUAAAGUUAUUAAUUAUGACAAGAGUUGACCAAAGUUGAAAUCAUUGAAAAUUGUAAAUAUAGAGGAGUAUUAGACUAUAAUUAGUUGAUUCGUUUAACUUUCAAAAACGCCCUUUUUCCCAAGGA